UCUACUUGAGGGGCAUGCAUUACUCGUAACUGAUAUAGAUGUUCACACUGCCUUUUUAGACUCUGUUUUCAUGUUUUUCCAUGUCAUUGCCGCUCUGUAGGGUGAAACUGGGCUCAGAGGCAGAAAAGGAGAGGUCUACAGGCUGCUCGUUAUGGCGCACACCUGUCACCAUCGUUACGCGCACCUGCACGUCGUCAGACUCACCUGGACAUCACUUCGUUGAUUACCUGCCCUAUAUAUGUCCCUCCCUUUGGCUCCCCUGCCUCAGCCGGCUCGACAGGCUCCCCUGCCUCAGCCGGCUUGUCGGGCUUUCAUGCCUUUGCCAGAUCCCCUGCGUCCACUGACUCGUCAGGCUCUCAUACCUCAACCGGAUCGCCAGGCUCCCCUGCCUCAGCCGGUCUGGCAGGUUCCCUCGUCCCAGCCGGCGACAGGUUCCUGCGCAUCAGCGGGGGUGACCGGUCCGCCCCUGAUCCCCAGGAUCGUCCCUUGGGUUGGCAUCCUGCGGCUGGUGCCAAACACGCCCGGGAGGGGGUACCGUCAGUUAUGCUCUCUCUCCGGCACUCUAGGUCGCCAUGCUCCUGCGUCUCAGCCGGAUAGAGUUUCCUGUGCCUCUGCAGAGGUGUCCGGUCCGCUCCUGUUCACCGGGAUAGUCACUUUGGGUGGCGUUCUGCAGCUGGAGCCGCGCGUCGGGAAGGGGAUACUGUCAUGUGUGCUCCCUCUCCGACCUCGUUACGCGCAUCGUCAGACUCACCUGGACUCCAUCACUUCGUUGAUUACCUGCCC